CACGCGGUGGUAGUGACUGAGUGGCCCGGUGGGGCCCGGAGGGCGGCGCGGACCCGGACACGAAUCGCGGGGAGGUCGUGGGGGCGGGGAGAAAGGAGGGACCGUGGGUGCGUGCCCGUGAGACCUCAGCUGCGUAUGGCCGGCUGUGACACUGCACGUGUGCGUGUCAGAGAGGAGGGGUGUUUUGCAUGUGAGGUACCACCUGCGUGUGCAUAUGUGACGUCAGGUGUGUGGAGGGGCCGGGUGCGUCAGUGUUUGUGUGUGCAGGUGUAACCUCAGGUAUGUGCAUGUGGCUGAGUAUGUCACCAUGUGUGCGUUUCGGAGGGGAAGGGUGUCUUGCAUGCGAGAUACCUGUGUGUGUAGAUGAGGCCUCAGGUGUGUGUGAGUGGUCAGGUGGGUCAGCAUGCAUGUUGGUGGGGAAGGGAUGUUUUGUGUGUGUGACACCUCCUUUCUGCAGACGUGACCUCGGGUGUGUACCUGUGACCUGUACACCUUAGCUAUCACCCCCAUUCCCCUUUUCUCCAGCCCUGGCAACCAUUAAUCUACUUUCUGUUAAUUAAUCUGUCUGUUCUGGACGUGCGAUAUAAAUGGGAUUAGACAGUAAGUGGCUUUUUUAUGUCUGGCUUCUCUCACUGAGCAUAUUGUUUUUAAAGCCCUAUUGUGCCAUUUAUCAGUACUUCAUUCAUUUUUAUAGCUGAAUAAUAAUCCUUUGUGUGGCUAUACCACAGUUUGUUUACCCAAAUAAUGCUGCUGUGAACACACAUACAAGUUUUUGUGUGGACAUGUGUUUUCAGUUUGGAGGAGUAAGGCCAUUGGGUCUGUCUCAGGGAAGCUCAUGUGUAUGGCCACACCUGCUCUCUGUUGCCUUUGCUCAUCCGGCAGUAUUUCAUUUUCCAGAAUCCCAGCCCUGAGCCCUGAAGUGAAAGCCAGGAGCCUGACUGCUCUAUGGAAGUAGAUGGGAGGAGGCAGUGGCUGUGGGAACUGGAAUCCAUCCCUACAACAGUCACCCACAACCUGGGAUCUCUGUCUGGGACUAAGAACACAUGCCCCCUAUCCUGUAGCUGCUGAGGUCAAGCAGCCGAGAGCCAGACAGAGUGGCAGGCAAUGGAGCCUGAGGAGCCAGCUCUUCCUUCUCAGGGGCGCAUCAAGGAAGACAAGCCUAAGGCCCAAGAUACUGUAUUCCCAGCAGAUGCCUUCCAUAAGCCAGUGACAUUUAAGGACGUGGCCGUAGACUUCACACGGGAGGAGUGGGGCUGCUGGGCCCCACACAGAGGAUCCUAUACCGUGACGUGAUGCUGAGGAACUACAGCAACUUGGUUUCUCUGGGUGAGGCCUUCUGUCACCUCUUCAUCCAUGUCCUGUGUGUGUGAGUGCACCCUUCCAUGUACACUCACACAUACGUAUGCAUAUUUAUCCCCUGCCUUGUCCCCAGUAACCCACACCCAGGUAUGUCCUUGCUCUGACCUGUGUGCCCCAGUUGGGCCCCUCUGUGUAGAGUAGAUGCCUCACCCCACAUCACCAGAGAGAGACUUCCCCUGGGGCACACACACUGCACUAUUGGGCCUAUUGGGGCCUGGCUGGCUUGUGGCAACAGCAUCAACAUUUCCUUCCUACUUUCUGACUAU